rnacentral:lncRNA from 1 species
GGGUUGCCUGUAUUUCACGAUAGCUCAGCGAAAGCAAGUCUUCUUAUGGAUACAAAUUGGGGCAGGUUUUCCCCUCUGCUUCCUGCCCACUUAUGGACAUGUUGUUCGCUUGAAAUCCACUCUGUAGGUGUUCCAAGUCAUCUUUGAUUCCAAUGAAGCGUGGUUUGAAGCCAGGCUACACCCCAAGGACUGUCAGCUGUGAAAUGACAGCAACAGAUGGACUUUGCCAGGAUGAAGCAAUCAAAGUUUCCUCAUCUAUAAAAAUGAAGUUAUUGGACUCAAGGAUAUUACAGCAAGAGAUUCAUUCUCUCAUGGAGACACUAAUAAUUGGAAGCAAUCUUCUUGACAUCUCUGAAGGUCCCCCAUAGUAGUCACACUUCUACCUGCCUUCCAACUGGAGCAGACUGACCUGACUUAAGGGCUCGGGACCCACACACCAUAAAUCCACGAUCACCAGAGGAGAUUACUGUGAGAACAGAGUGUAUUGCCUUAUACACUGUCCCAUACUCCCUCAAAAGUAAGCUUGUUCUUAAUCCUCCUGGUUCUGGUUCUCCCUUGCCUUCUAAUUUUUACUGGGUCUUCAAAGACCUUGAGACAUUCCUUUAUUGUCAAUGUAAUUCAAGGUCCAAAUAUCCCAAGGGCUUUGGGCUCAGUGGAAGUCUCAUUUUUGAGGACUGACUCCAAGAAGGCUAUUGUGAGUCCCCAGUAUGGGUAACAGGGCUCCCAGCU